UUGGGUCUGUGGGCUUCACACUCCAGCCUGCCACAGAUUCUUCAUACUUUCGAAGGAUUUGUGUAUACAAGUCAAGGAAACCUGUGAAGUUUUAGAUAUCUACUUGAGGAGGGCCACAGUGAGUUGAUUUGUGAGCUUUUCUCCUUGAGGGGCUACCAAAGGCAAGCUGGCAGGAGCUGCAGAACCUCCAGUUUGGGGCCUGGCAUGGAUGAAGACAACAGAUGCUACGAGUGAACACUAUUAAAUCAAGUACUUUUCAAGGACCCAAUAUGUACUGGUGGAGAUACUGAGAUUAUCUAAAAAUG